rnacentral:rRNA from 1 species
GAGUUUGAUCCUGGCUCAAGACGAACGCUGGCGGCGUGCUUAACACAUGCAAGUCGAACGAAGAGCGAUGGAAGCUUGCUUCUAUCAAUCUUAGUGGCGAACGGGUGAGUAACGCGUAACCAACCUGCCCUUCAGAGGGGGACAACAGUUGGAAACGACUGCUAAUACCGCAUAUGAUCUAACCUCGGCAUCGAGGAUAGAUGAAAGGUGGCCUCUAUUUAUAAGCUAUCACUGAAGGAGGGGAUUGCGUCUGAUUAGCUAGUUGGAGGGGUAACGGCCCACCAAGGCGAUGAUCAGUAGCCGGUCUGAGAGGAUGAACGGCCACAUUGGGACUGAGACACGGCCCAGACUCCUACGGGAGGCAGCAGUGAGGAAUCUUCCGCAAUGGACGAAAGUCUGACGGAGCAACGCCGCGUGAGUGAUGACGGCCUUCGGGCUGUAAAGCUCUGUUAAUCGGGACGAAAGGCCUUCUUGCGAAUAGUUAGAAGGAUUGACGGUACCGGAAUAGAAAGCCACGGCUUACUACGUGCCAGCAGCCGCGGUAAUACGUA